UUUUAUGACGCUUAUAAGCGACAGUAAAUCCGACGUCAUGUUCAAUUAGUGUCACAACUGCCUAAUCCGCCACUAUAUUAGAUUAAAGCGACACCACCCUCCGACACUAUAACCCCCUUUUGUAGUAGUGAUCGGUGGUGAGCAAGGCAGUGGAGGUUGGCAACAAGAAUAACCUCACCUUCACCGUCAGGAACUACGCCGACUUCGUCAUCCAGCAUGCCGGCCAAGCCGUCGCUGACGGAGCUAAAUGGGAGGUCGGAGCUUUAGGAGUGUGAAGAAUAGUAUACAGAGAUGGGAGGAAGCAGCUGUUUCCUGUAGGUAAUUUUUGCUCUGACUUAUUUAGAUUUUAUAUUCUGGGUUAAUUAUCAACCGGAUUUUGUUACUAGAUUUAGAAUUGUAAUUUGGUACCACUUCUGCCACAUGCCGCUUCAGUUUUCACAUCCUAAUGCCACGAAAUGCUAAUUUUAAACUCUAGGUUAUGGGUAAGGAUUAGUAUUUGGAGGCACAAAUUCUUCUCAGCUGCUAAACCAAGUUCAAAAUCAUUUUGCGCGUGGUUUACAUUAGGCUAUUCAAGCCCUAUUUUAAAUGUAUGAUUGGUUUAUGUGAAAUGAAAGAGAGUUAGAAUACCUUGUGAGAUGACUGAUUCGAGAACCCAUUUUAAAUAAAACGUAUCAAAAGUGUUGAGCUGAGAGCGAAGAGAUUCUUUGCAUGGAAAACAGAUUUCACUUUGUUUUCUUUACUCAAAGUGCUCUUAUUUAAUCUGGUUCUGUUUCGGUUGCAUAGUAUGUGGUUCGCAGCGACUAAGAAUCGUUUCCUAAGAAAUCUAUUGAGCUAAGUUCUUUUUGGUAGGAAAUUAGGGUUGCUGAUGUUAGCAAUGGAUUGAGUCUUUCUGUUUGGUAUGAUUAUAUCUCUGAACAAGCAUUAAUAAAUAGAACGAUUUCCAUCAAUAAUUUUAUUCGGUCAAGAUUCAAACUCCCAUUGUAGAUCAAACUAUAAGUCAAACUCCCAUUGCAGAUCAAACUAUAAGUCAAACUCCCAUUGCAGAGCAAACUAUAAGUCAAACCCCAUUUCAGAACAAACUGGGAACGAGGAGGCGCAAUAGGGUAUGGCUAUUUCCGGGCCGUCGUUCAUUUUGAGAUUCUGGAACCUAGAAGAGUCUUGAAUUCAGUUUUCAAACUCUGACUGAAAAUGGAACUUGGUGCUAUUAAGCUAUCAUCCUCAGCCAGGUAGCGCCAUGACUUUUACAUUGCUGCUUUCAUUUUAUGUACUAAUUAUUGUUCUAUGAAUUGUAUUCUUCAGUUAAAUAAUGAUUCAUCCUCCUUUUCCCAUCUCCUUGGUUUUUUCGUUUAGAUUUUUCUGUUUGCGUAUUAUAAUUUUUUUGGGUAUUGGUUACUGUGCACUUAUUAGGUAAGUCAAUUCUCAUGUGAUUUGUACAUUCACAUUCCUGGGUGUAUAAUUUAUAAUAUGUGAACAUAUUAUAGUAACUAAGUUUAAUCCCUGAAUUUAUUAUUUAACUGGGAUGUAGAUUUCAUAAUUGAAAUUAUGUUAAAUGUGAAUUGUUAGUGAUUACACUUCACUCAAUUAUAUCAAUCCUCUUCAAUAUGUAGAUGUAAGUUCGUUAUUAGUGCCAUUAAGGGUUGAUUAAUCCUCAUAUGCGUAGCAAUAAUUAUUAGUGCCAUGUAGUGUUGGUACUUAUAUAAACGCAUUUUAAACGAAUGUUAGUAUAUUCUUAGGGAUGUUAACAACACUACUCUCUAGUUUAGCCAGGUACCUACUUUGGUUUUUUCGUUCCCUCAUCAUAUGCUUUGCACAAUCGUAACUAUGAGCUAAAUACUAAUGGGUGAAUAAUGAAUGUUCUGCUGAGUAGUAUGUUAUUACCAAUCUUGGUAGAUUUACAAAGCAUAUGAGAGAAUUCGUCAGUAGAGUUAAUCAUCUGUAACAAUAAAUGUUAAUUAUUCAAGCUUGAUUUCUUGGCAAUGGCUUCCUUCGUUAGCGUCUACAACUACGUCUCUCUUCACUUUCCCACUUCCUCCGGUCUCUCUUUCUCUUUCUAAUCUCUACUGAGUUUCUUUCAAUCUGUCAAUUUAUAUAAUUUAUUCUUUGAUGUGAUAUUUGGUGCGUUUGAUUUGGUUUUGUGAAUGUCUUCCUGACUUUUCUUCUUUGGAUUCAAAUAAUAAGUUCAAUGGUUAUAUACAUAACAGAAUAGUGAUUUGCGAACAAGGCAAUUCAAAGCUUGAAAAUUUGUAUAUCAUGCUAAGCUGACUACCUUUUUUCCCCACUUUUUCGACUUUGAGGAAUUGCAGUAUUUUAGCCCAACUUGCUAAAAUUUUUGUUUAUUUUUAAAUGAAUUCUAUAUGAAUUUACUUGGAAAUGUUAUAUGAAUUUUGUAUAAACUUGAAUAAAACUUAUAUCUGCAGGUUGAAUGUGUCCUUUGCCAACUAUUUUUUGGUAUAAGAAAAAGAUUACAUUAUACACACACAAUGCAAUGUGUUACCUAUCUGUUUAUAUACAUGUUAUAUUAAUACAUAUAAUGUUACAUGUUAAACAAAGCAAUAGAUGCCAAGCCAAAAGUGAGAAUGGGAACGAAGAAUCCAUGUCAAAAUCUCGCAUUUGUUCAAAGUGGUCUUGAUGGAACAUGGAAUCCAUAUCACCAAGUGUACUAAUUCAAGGUUCAUUGUUUAAUUCUUAAAUUAAAAUUAAUUUUGUCUUGACUCCAGUUUCUUCAUGCCUUUCUUAACUUCACAUGCAUAGUUGAUAAAGAGCUUCAGGAGGGUCAUUACUAAACAUCUACAAAUUUGUUAAGCCUAAGGCUUCCAGUUAUCAAACUACAGGUAACUACGGAUUAGUAGAUGUUUAGUAAUGACCCUUCUGAAA